rnacentral:rRNA from 1 species
AACGAACGCUUGCGGCGCGCCUAAUACAUGCAAGUCGAGCGAGAAAGUAUCUUCGGAUGCGAGUACAGCGGCGGACGGGUGAGGAACACGUAGAUAAUCUGCCUUAGAGUGGGGGAUAACUAAUCGAAAGAUUAGCUAAUACCGCAUAAGACCACAGGGGCUUCGACUCUAGGGGUUAAAGGAGCAAUUCGCUCUAAGAUGAGUCUGCGUCCGAUUAGCUAGUUGGUGAGGUAAUGGCUCACCAAGGCAACGAUCGGUAACUGGUCUGAGAGGAUGACCAGUCACACUGGAACUGAGACACGGUCCAGACUCCUACGGGAGGCAGCAGUAGGGAAUAUUGCACAAUGGAGGAAACUCUGAUGCAGCGACGCCGCGUGAGUGAUGAAGGCCUUCGGGUUGUAAAACUCUGUGAUAAGGGAAGAUGAUGACGGUACCUUAUCAGAAAAGACCGGCUAACUUCGUGCCAGCAGCCGCAGUAA